rnacentral:rRNA from 1 species
GUGGGGGAUAACGUCCGGAAACGGGCGCUAAUACCGCAUACGUCCUGAGGGAGAAAGUGGGGGAUCUUCGGACCUCACGCUAUCAGAUGAGCCUAGUCGGAUUAGCUAGUUGGUGGGGUAAAGGCCUACCAAGGCGACGAUCCGUAACUGGUCUGAGAGGAUGAUCAGUCACACUGGAACUGAGACACGGUCCAGACUCCUACGGGAGGCAGCAGUGGGGAAUAUUGGACAAUGGGCGAAAGCCUGAUCCAGCCAUGCCGCGUGUGUGAAGAAGGUCUUCGGAUUGUAAAGCACUUUAAGUUGGGAGGAAGGGCAGUAAGUUAAUACCUUGCUGUUUUGACGUUACCAACAGAAUAAGCACCGGCUAACUUCGUGCCAGCAGCCGCGGUAAUACGAAGGGUGCAAGCGUUAAUCGGAAUUACUGGGCGUAAAGCGCGCGUAGGUGGUUCAGCAAGUUGGAUGUGAAAUCCCCGGGCUCAACCUGGGAACUGCAUCCAAAACUACUGAGCUAGAGUACGGUAGAGGGUGGUGGAAUUUCCUGUGUAGCGGUGAAAUGCGUAGAUAUAGGAAGGAACACCAGUGGCGAAGGCGACCACCUGGACUGAUACUGACACUGAGGUGCGAAAGCGUGGGGAGCAAACAGG